AUAGUUCAAGAAGAGACACGUUGUCGUAAUGUAUGAAGUCUUGCUUGAGAAUACUCCGGGCACUUGGCUGUAGAAAGAAGAAUAGAAAUUGCGAUAAUAAAAUCCUAAUUCUAAUAGAAUACUAACAAUGCUCUAAUUAGACUAUAAUAAUGGUAAACAAAUGUAAUUAAAUUCAAAAUAACUCAAAGAAAUUUCAAACAAACAAUAAAAUUCUUAAAGAAAUAUUAGAAUGAACACAAAUAUUACUCAAAUAUAUGUCAAUUCAACCUUAAUUUAAUUCUAGUAAAAACCCUAUUGAAUUUCACUCAAACUUUAGACCAAACCUAAUUAAAUCUUAAACCCUAAUAAAUCCUAAACCCUAAGUCAAAUCCUAAAAAAACCUUAAAUUAAUCCUUAAAUCAAAUCCUAUUUCAAACCCUAAAUCAAAUCCUAAACUAAAUCCUAAAUCCUAAUCCAAACUCUAAUCCAACCUUAAUCCAAACUCUAAUCCAACUCUAAACCAAACCUUAAAUCAAACCCUAAUCCAAAACCUAAAUCAAAUCCUAACCAAAUCCUAAAUCUUAAUCCAAACCCUAAU
rnacentral:lncRNA from 1 species